rfam:Medicago truncatula strain A17 chromosome 8, whole genome shotgun sequence.
AAGUAGUGUGACAUGCCCGUUUGGACUUACUCUGAUGAGUUUUAUUUAUUAUUUAAUUGCUUUGGGAUAACGGGGUGUUACAUGAGG